rnacentral:lncRNA from 10 species
GCAAAUGAGGGAUGGAACUUCCCUUGGUAUCUUUAAACUAUGGGACUACAUCAGCUACUCAAUAAUUAAUAAGUUAAAUGAAAAAGGAACGCGACACUGUAAAGACAACGAGGCUAUGUCCUUCUUUGCAGCUGGUAUCAGGAUUUACAGAAAGGUACAGGGGGCACACCAGGCAGGCUGAGGUGACCUCAGAUUCUGAGCAGGACUCCAGGCA